rnacentral:tRNA from 1 species
UGUCCAGUGUUGCCUAGUGGACAUGGCAUCUCCCCGGUAAGCGGAACACUGUGGGUUCGAUUCCCAUCCCUGAACAC